UACGGACUUAAAAUCCGUCGACUUAAAAAAGUCGUGAGGGUUCAAGUCCCU
rnacentral:tRNA from 1 species